rnacentral:rRNA from 1 species
GAUGAACGCUGGCGGCGUGCCUAAUACAUGCAAGUCGAGCGAACAGACGAGGCGCUUGCUCCUUUGACGUUAGCGGCGGACGGGUGAGUAACACGUGGAUAACCUACUUAUAAGACUGGGAUAAUUUCGGGAAACCGGAGAUAAUCCCGGAUAAUAUAUUGCACCGCAUGGUUCAUUAGUGAAAGACGGUUUUGCUGUCACUUAUAGAUGGAUCCGCGCUGCAUUGGCUAGUUGGUAAGGUAACGGCUUACCAAGGCAACGAUGCGUAGCCGACGUGACAGGGUGGUCGGCCACACGGGAGCGUGGACGCGGUCCAUGCGCCUGCGGGAGGCAGCAGUAGGGAAUCUGCCGCAGUAGUCGAAAGUCUGACGGAGCAACGGCGCGUGAGUGAUGAAGGUCUUGGGAUCGUAAAACUCUGUUAUUAGGGAAGAACAAAUGUGGAAGUAACUAUGCACGUCUUGACGGUACCGAAUCAGAAAGCCACGGCUAACUACGUG